CAAUAGCGUAUAUUAAAGUUGUUGCAGUUAAAAAGCUCGUAGUUGGAUUUGUGGUUCGUCCCGCCGGCUGGGUCAUUGACUUUUGCUGUGCUGGUCGUCCAUCCUUGGGUGGAAUCUGUGUGGCAUUAGGUUGUCGCGCAGGGGAUGCCCAUCGUUUACUGUGAAAAAAUUAGAGUGUUCAAAGCAGGCUUAUGCCGUUGAAUAUAUUAGCAUGGAAUAAUGAUAUAGGACCUUGGUACUAUUUUGUUGGUUUGCGCACUGAGGUAAUGAUUAAUAGGGACAGUUGGGGGUAUUCGUAUUCCAUUGUAAGAGGUGAAAUUCUUGGAUUUGUUAAAGACGGACUACUGCGAAAGCAUUUGCCAAGGAUGUUUUCAUUGA
rnacentral:rRNA from 1 species